AGUGAACGCUGGCGGCAGGCCUAACACAUGCAAGUCGAGCGGCAGCGGGUCCUUCGGGAUGCCGGCGAGCGGCGGACGGGUGAGGAAUACAUCGGAAUCUGCCCUGUCGUGGGGGAUAACCUAGGGAAACUAAGGCUAAUACCGCAUACGACCUACGGGUGAAAGCGGGGGAUCGCAAGACCUCGCGCGCCAGGAUGAGCCGAUGUCCGAUUGGCUAGUUGGCGGGUUAAAGGCCCACCAAGGCGACGAUCGGUAGCUGGGCUGAGAGGAUGAACAGCCACACUGGUACUGAGACACGGCCCAGACUCCUACGGGAGGCAGAAGUGGGGAAUAUUGUACAAUGGGCGCAAGCCUGAUCCAGCCAUGCCGCGUGGGUGAAGAAGGCCUUCGGGUUGUAAAGCCCUUUUGUCCGGGAAGAAAUCGUCUGGGCUAAUACCCCGGGCGGAUGACGGUACCGGAAGAAUAAGCACCGGCUAACUUCGUG
rnacentral:rRNA from 1 species